UGGGCCACAUUGGUUAAAGAGCUGUUACAGGGACCCUAAAACUUUGAUAGCUAUUGCAAAAGAGCUAUUGCAAGGGUCCCAUAGGCUAAAAAGCUAUUUCAAGAGGCACUAUAAAAACUAUUCUGAGGGCCACAUACAUUGCAGUCACAUUCUGGGGGAUCAUAGAUUUAAAAAAAAAAAGGGAAUAUAGAAUACAAAUUAUUCAAGGCGCUUCCCUACUAGAUGGCAGCCAUGUUUUGUUUUACUGUUUAUUACUCGUGCCAUUUUAAUGUCACAUUUUCUUUCUUUUUUUUUUUCAAUAAUACAAUGUAAUCCUGUGCUUCCCUAUCUGAGUGGCCUGGUAAGCAGGGUCCUGAAGGACUAAUGGAGGUUUCUCUGUGCCUUCCUGUAAAUGCAAAAGUAAUGGUUCUACACGCGUCUCCAACUUGUGGCUCUCACAUUGUUAUGACACUACAACUCCCAGCAAACCCUGACAGAUGCAGGCACAAAGACAAUCAAAGUGAGAUCACCUAUGUUAUGCUCCACCCCCUAGGACCCAAAACUCAUAAAGAACAAAUUUAGCAAUUAUUAUUAAUAUAAGUACUAAUAGAAAAUGAAAUAAAAUUUUAUGAAAUUACAAUAAAGAAAUAUCAAAUAAUUUUAAACAAAUGACUCAUUACUAAUUGAACUCAUCAAUUCAAGAAAUUAUACAAGGAUUCAAUCAAGUCAUUGCAAUUAUUUAUUAAGUAAAAUAAUACAUUUAUUAUUAAAUACAUUCUUAUUAAUAUCUACAAUAAGUUUUAAAAUGUUUAGAAAAAUAUUCUCAGACAUUUAAAUAAAAUGAUAAAAGAGCAAAUAAAUAGCAUGAUAAACAAUCUCGGCAAUGCCGCACUUUGGCCCAUGGCUGUAAUGAUGUCCUUUUUUCUUCUCCUUAUAUACAGCCUAAUCCUUGUGUAUUAUGUCAGGUUGACAAGACCGCAACACAACUACAUAUUAUUUUCAUCUUUUUUUUAUUUUCAUGUCACGAAUGCCGGUGCAUAGAGGGGGCCAGACACUGCUGAGCAUUGGGGGCUGUACACAAGACCAUGAUGUCGUAUAACAGCAAUGGGCAAUCACCUAGUACCAGUUAUGGCUUUGCAGGUAGUGUGGAUCUCUAUAUAUCAUGCAGGAGGGGUGGGGGAGGUGUCUGGGGAUCCAGGCAUGAAUUGACAAUCCUGAGGCUGGAAUAUUGGAUAAAAUAACAUUAUCGAUGAGGAGAAUAGGGUGAUUUGCAUCCGAAAUGACUAUGGGGACACGGUUGCUCUGAGAUGGACAUACUUGGAGUAUUUAGCGGAGCAGUACGGUAUAUUUUUGAUCAAUGUUGGGGUCUUCCAAAAAGGUUGUGUGUGGCGUCUUCAUGAGAGGAUAAGUGGUUGUAUGCCUCCAGAAGGGAAUUGCUGCUUGAGAAGAACGUGUUUGGGGUUUAAUGUGGGGGACAUAUAUAAUCCUCUCUGCUUGUCCUGAACAAGAAGGUCCCAUCAUCCUCCAAUCAGUAAGAAACCAGAACUUGAAAGCAGAAAAUCUCUCUGGAAAAAAAAAAAAUAAAUCUCUUUAACUGGGUCAUCUGUGCAGGGAAGGGUUUAAAAACUGAAUCUCAAUCCGAGGCAGCGAAGGGAGAAUUUGCUGUAAAUGGCGACUCUUUGGAUCACAGCAUCGAUGUAACCCUUUAAUCACAAGAUAAUAGAAGAAACUGUGAAAAUAAAAUUAUUUC